rnacentral:tRNA from 1 species
AGGGCAGUAGCUCUAAUUGGCAGAGCGACGGACUCCAAAUCCGUAGGUUCGGGGUUCGAGUCCCCGCUGCCCUGCCA